AGUGAACGCUGGCGGUAGGCCUAACACAUGCAAGUCGAACGGCAGCACAGUAAGAGCUUGCUCUUACGGGUGGCGAGUGGCGGACGGGUGAGGAAUACAUCGGAAUCUACUUUUUCGUGGGGGAUAACGUAGGGAAACUUACGCUAAUACCGCAUACGACCUACGGGUGAAAGCAGGGGAUCUUCGGACCUUGCGCGAUUGAAUGAGCCGAUGUCGGAUUAGCUAGUUGGCGGGGUAAAGGCCCACCCAGGCGACGAUCCGUAGCUGGUCUGAGAGGAUGAUCAGCCACACUGGAACUGAGACACGGUCCAGACUCCUACGGGAGGCAGCAGUGGGGAAUAUUGGACAAUGGGCGCAAGCCUGAUCCAGCCAUACCGCGUGGGUGAAGAAGGCCUUCGGGUUGUAAAGCCCUUUUGUUGGGAAAGAAAAGCAGCAGGUUAAUACCCCGCUGUUCUGACGGUACCCAAGGAAUAAGCACCGGCUAACUUCGUG
rnacentral:rRNA from 1 species